rnacentral:rRNA from 1 species
UGGGGAAUAUUGGACAAUGGGCGAAAGCCUGAUCCAGCCAUGCCGCGUGUGUGAAGAAGGUCUUCGGAUUGUAAAGCACUUUAAGUUGGGAGGAAGGGCAGUAAGCGAAUACCUUGCUGUUUUGACGUUACCGACAGAAUAAGCACCGGCUAACUCUGUGCCAGCAGCCGCGGUAAUACAGAGGGUGCGAGCGUUAAUCGGAUUUACUGGGCGUAAAGCGUGCGUAGGCGGCUAAUUGAGUCGGAUGUGAAAUCCCCGAGCUUAACUUGGGAAUUGCAUUCGAUACUGGUUAGCUAGAGUGUGGGAGAGGAUGGUAGAAUUCCAGGUGUAGCGGUGAAAUGCGUAGAGAUCUGGAGGAAUACCGAUGGCGAAGGCAGCCAUCUGGCCUAACACUGACGCUGAGGUACGAAAGCGUGGGGAGCAAACAGG